AGCUCAGUCAGUGGAGCAGGCGACUCUUGAUCCCCAGGUUGUGAGUUCGAUCCUCAC
rnacentral:tRNA from 1 species